GUAGGGAAUAUUGGGCAAUGGUCGGAAGACUGACCCAGCCAUGCCGCGUGCAGGAAGACGGCCCUCUGGGUUGUAAACUGCUUUUAUCUGAGAAGAAAAAGGCCAUGCGUGGCAAAUUGCCGGUACCAGAUGAAUAAGCACCGGCUAACUCCGUGCCAGCAGCCGCGGUAAUACGGAGGGUGCGAGCGUUGUCCGGAUUUAUUGGGUUUAAAGGGUGCGUAGGCGGCUGAUUAAGUCAGCGGUGAAAGACUUCGGCUUAACCGGAGCAGUGCCGUUGAUACUGGUUGGCUUGAGUGUCGGAGGGGUACAUGGAAUUGAUGGUGUAGCGGUGAAAUGCAUAGAUACCAUCAGGAACACCGAUAGCGAAGGCAUUGUACUGGCCGACAACUGACGCUGAUGCACGAAAGUGUGGGGAUCGAACAGGAUUAGAUACCCUAGUAGUCC
rnacentral:rRNA from 1 species